rnacentral:rRNA from 1 species
UAAGACGUAGGGCGCAAGCGUUGUCCGGAUUUAUUGGGCGUAAAGAGCUCGUAGGCGGCUCGUUGCGUCGGCUGUGAAAACCCGCAGCUCAACUGUGGGCUUGCAGCCGAUACGGGCGGGCUAGGAUUCGGUAGGGGAGACUGGAAUUCCUGGUGUAGCGGUGAAAUGCGCAGAUAUCAGGAGGAACACCGGUGGCGAAGGCGGGUCUCUGGGCCGAUAUCGACGCUGAGGAGCGAAAGCGUGGGGAGCGAACAGGAUUAGAUACCCUGGUAGUCCACGCUGUAAACGUUGGGCGCUAGGUGUGGGGGGCCUCUCCGGUUCUCUGUGCCGCAGCUAACGCAUUAAGCGCCCCGCCUGGGGAGUACGGCCGCAAGGCUA